UACGUAGGGUGCAAGCGUUUGUCCGGAAUUAUUGGGCGUAAAGAGCUCGUAGGCGGUUUGUUGCGUCGGCUGUGAAAUCCCGAGGCUCAACCUCGGGUCUGCAGUCGAUACGAGCAAACUAGAGUGUUGCAGGGGAGACUGGAAUUCCUGGUGUAGCGGUGAAAUGCGCAGAUAUCAGGAAGAACACCCGUGGCGAAGGCGGCUCUCUGGGACGGUACUGACGCUGAGACGCGAAAGCCAGGGGAGCGAACGGG
rnacentral:rRNA from 1 species